CCACACUACCUAGUCUCUAGUGCCCAUACCCUAGACCAAGUUGAAACAGCUCCAUAUUUUCAUCAACUCGCAAGUAGCCAUGAGAAGAAGGAAGAAUGAGUUAUUUUUAUCAUAGAAAAGAAAUGAAAUGAAAAGAAAAGCAGAAGAAUGAUGCUGCAAAAUGAUAUCAAAAGCUUUACCAACGCAGGUCAGCAGUUAGAAGACCAACAUAGUAAGCAGGAAGCACAGAGUAGCGAAGAGUAAAAGACCCUCUAAGGAAACGUACAGACUACAGAAAAAUAAUACCAUGAAUACGAAAAAUGAGAAGUGGCAGAGGUGAAUUACCAGGGGUGAGUUUAAUUAUGGGGUUUCAUACUUUGACAAGUUGUUGUUUCCCUUGUGUAGUUGGAGCUUGUGUGUUAUCAAUGCACUACUUUCUCCUUCAUUUGAGUCUUCCACUUAGCCCUGCAAAUGCAAUGAAACUCGGGAUCAUUCACCAUUUCCAUCUUAUAUGAAACACAAUAAAGAAUAAAUACAACAUCAACGUUUUAGUUUAUCAUACCUUCUGAUCAGAUACAUGGUUUCUGCCUUUCUGCACUGAUCCUUUAUUCUUCUACCUGAAUGUUCACCCUAGACGCUACACCCUGGCAACUAGUACAUAAAUUACCCUUAACCCCAAUACCUGCCCAGUAAGUUACAAAAGCAGGUCAGCAGUUAGAAGACCAACAUAGUAAGCAGGAAGCACAGAGUAGCGAAGAGUAAAAGACCCUCUAAGGAAACGUACAGACUACAGAAAAAUAAUACCAUGAAUACGAAAAAUGAGAAGUGGCAGAGGUGAAUUACCAGGGAUGAGUUGAAUUUUGGGGUUUCAUACGUUGACAAGUUGUUGUUUCCCUUGUGCAGUUGGAGCUUGUGUGUUAUCAAUGCACUACUUUCUCCUUCAUUUGAGUCUUCCACUUAGCCCUGCAAAUGCAAUGAAACUCGGGAUCAUCCACCAUUUCCAUCUUAUAUGAAACACAAUAAAGAAUAAAUACAACAUCAACGUUUUAGUUUAUCAUACCUUCUGAUCAGAUACAUGGUUUCUGCCUUUCUGCACUGAUCCUUUAUUCUUCUACCUGAAUGUUCACCCUAGACGCUACACCCUGGCAACUAGUACAUAAAUUACCCUUAACCCCAAUACCUGCCCAGUAAGUUACAAAAGCAGGUCAGCAGUUAGAAGACCAACAUAGUAAGGAGGAAGCACACAGUAGCGAAGAGUAAAAGACCUACAAACUACAACGGAAAAAAUACCAUCAGAAGAAUAGGAAGAAUGACAAGUGGCAGAGGUGAAUUACCAGGGACGAGUUUGAUUUUGGGACUUCCAUAGCUUUGACAAGAUGAUGUUUCCCCUAUAAAGUUGCAGCUUGUGUGUUAUCAAUGCAUGCACCACUAUCAUCUGCAACAUGUCCACAAGUAUUGAAGAGAAGGACGGGGGAAACAGGAAAGAUAUCACUGAAAUUCUUAUGAAGACCAACAUAGUAAGGAGGAAGCACACAGUAGCGAAGAGUAAAAGACCUACAAACUACAACGGAAAAAAUACCAUCAGAAGAAUAGGAAGAAUGACAAGUGGCAGAGGUGAAUUACCAGGGACGAGUUUGAUUUUGGGACUUCCAUAGCUUUGACAAGAUGAUGUUUCCCCUAUAAAGUUGCAGCUUGUGUGUUAUCAAUGCAUGCACCACUAUCAUCUGCAACAUGUCCACAAGUAUUGAAGAGAAGGACGGGGGAAACAGGAAAGAUAUCACUGAAAUUCUUAUGAAGACCAACAUAGUAAGGAGGAAGCACACAGUAGCGAAGAGUAAAAGACCUACAAACUACAACGGAAAAAAUACCAUCAGAAGAAUAGGAAGAAUGACAAGUGGCAGAGGUGAAUUACCAGGGAUGAGUUGAAUUUUGGGGUUUCAUACGUUGACAAGUUGUUGUUUCCCUUGUGCAGUUGGAGCUUGUGUGUUAUCAAUGCACUACUUUCUCCUUCAUUUGAGUCUUCCACUUAGCCCUGCAAAUGCAAUGAAACUCGGGAUCAUCCACCAUUUCCAUCUUAUAUGAAACACAAUAAAGAAUAAAUACAACAUCAACGUUUUAGUUUAUCAUACCUUCUGAUCAGAUACAUGGUUUCUGCCUUUCUGCACUGAUCCUUUAUUCUUCUACCUGAAUGUUCACCCUAGACGCUACACCCUGGCAACUAGUACAUAAAUUACCCUUAACCCCAAUACCUGCCCAGUAAGUUACAAAAGCAGGUCAGCAGUUAGAAGACCAACAUAGUAAGCAGGAAGCACAGAGUAGCGAAGAGUAAAAGACCCUCUAAGGAAACGUACAGACUACAGAAAAAUAAUACCAUGAAUACGAAAAAUGAGAAGUGGCAGAGGUGAAUUACCAGGGGUGAGUUUAAUUAUGGGGUUUCAUACUUUGACAAGUUGUUGUUUCCCUUGUGCAGUUGGAGCUUGUGUGUUAUCAAUGCACUACUUUCUCCUUCAUUUGAGUCUUCCACUUAGCCCUGCAAAUGCAAUGAAACUCGGGAUCAUUCACCAUUUCCAUCUUAUAUGAAACACAAUAAAGAAUAAAUACAACAUCAACGUUUUAGUUUAUCAUACCUUCUGAUCAGAUACAUGGUUUCUGCCUUUCUGCACUGAUCCUUUAUUCUUCUACCUGAAUGUUCACCCUAGACGCUACACCCUGGCAACUAGUACAUAAAUUACCCUUAACCCCAAUACCUGCCCAGUAAGUUACAAAAGCAGGUCAGCAGUUAGAAGACCAACAAAGUAAGGAGGAAGCACACAGUAGCGAAGAGUAAAAGACCUACAAACUACAACGGAAAAAAUACCAUCAGAAGAAUAGGAAGAAUGACAAGUGGCAGAGGUGAAUUACCAGGGACGAGUUUGAUUUUGGGACUUCCAUAGCUUUGACAAGAUGAUGUUUCCCCUAUGCAGUUGUAGCUUGUGUGUUAUCAAUGCAGGCACCACUAUCAUCUGCAACAUGUCCACAAGUAUUGAAGAGAAGGAUGGGGGAAACAGGAAAGAUAUCAUUGAAAUUCUUGUGAAGCUACUCGCUGAUCAUGGUUCCUUGUUCAUGGAUGAAAGAUCUUUAAGAAUAUCGUUUACCUGACCGAUUUGUUGUGAAAUCUCUUGUUUGAAAAUCUUUCCCAAGUUUGGCGCCUGCAAGAUCCUUAGAAAUUUUUGCAAAUCUUUCGCAAGUUUAGUGUCUCCAUGAUCCUUAUUUUACUGCAUUUAGAACAACGAACAUGAACCAUGGAUACGCAGAUGAAGCAUCCAAACAAUUGUUGAUACCUUGAACUACGAAACUACUUGUUUAUGCUGGCAGAAUUCUCAAGGCCUGAGUUGCAAGAGCAACAAGAACACAUAUACAUGUAAUUAAAUAGCGAGUAAACAAUCUACAUUUAUUGUCCAGAUCAAAGAGCAAAGAUGAAAACAUCAUAUUAGAGAUGGAAUACGAACCUGCACAUUUUUUGUACAUGCUGUCCUUUUCAACCAGUUGUCCAAAAUGUUUUGACCAUAGACUGUAGACAGCACAAAUUACUCCACACCAUUAAGAUCUGCAUGCAAGCACCUCUCGGAUGUGAAUGGAAAUUCAAGAAUACGUCACCUGUAUAAGCAAAGAAGUUAACUUUCAAAUGAAUCUAACUUGCCACUAAUUAGGACUUUCAAGAAACUAUGCUCACACUGGGUAAAAGAAGGAACAUUCAUGAGAUUUUCAGCAUUCAUCGGACAAAGAAUACGUAAGCAAAUAUGUAGUUUGUAAGCUUACACUUAUAAUAGGAAUUUGCCAAACUGUGCUUGCAGACCCGUACUGAAUACUCAGAUUUUAACCACACCAGAGGGCAGCACCAUGUUUGCUACUUUGUCCUUUAUUUGAGACUUCUACUUAGCCCUGCAAAUACAAUCAAAGUCGGGAUCAUCCACCAUUUCCAUCUUAUAUGAAGCACAAUAAAGGAUAAAUACAGUAUUAACAUUCUAGUUUAUCAUACCUUCUGAUCAAAUUCAUGAUUUCUGCCUUUCUGCACUGAUCCUUUAAACCAAUGUCCCGCAAAGAAGUACAAGUGAAAUUCACACAUAUCGUGCUAAUGAAAAUAAACCUUGUCAAUGGAGAAUAUCAUUUCGCUUCCAUUAUCUUACCUUCGUGACACAAGCGGAAGUAGUAAACAAUAAGGGAAUUCUGGUCUGAGUAUUUUUCCCAGACUUGCAUGGAGGGGUGUUCACUCAUUCUCACCUUCUUUGUGCUUGUGUUAGAGUGCACAAACUCAUCACUUCACUUAGGUGAUGAACACCCUAACACUUCUUUUACGCAUCACCCCCUCUUUUUUUCCCUCAAUGAAGGCAUGGUUAUGACCAAACCCACACGGGGCAAACUCGGUAAAAAAAACCUGAAAACAGGUGGAAACCGGGUCGCCGCCGCGUGUGUAAGCCAUAAUCACCUCAUUCUCACCUUCUUUGUGCUUGUGUUAGAGUGCACAAACUCAUCACUUCUCUUAGGUGAUGAACACCUAACACUUCUUUUACGCACCACCCCCUCUCUUUUUUCCUCAAUGAAGGCAUGGUUAUGACCAAACCCACACGGGGCAAACUCGGUAAAAAAAACCUGAAAACAGGUGGAAACCGGGUCGCCGCCGCGUGUGUAAGCCAUAAUCACCUCAUUCUCACCUUCUUUGUGCUUGUGUUAGAGUGCACAAACUCAUCACUUCACUUAGGUGAUGAACACCCUAACACUUCUUUUACGCACCACCCCCUCUCUUUUUUCCUCAAUGAAGGCAUGGUUAUGACCAAACCCACACGGGGCAAACUCGGUAAAAAAAACCUGAAAACAGGUGGAAACCGGGUCGCCGCCGCGUGUGUAAGCCAUAAUCACCUCAUUCUCACCUUCUUUGUGCUUGUGUUAGAGUGCACAAACUCAUCACUUCACUUAGGUGAUGAACACCCUAACACUUCUUUUACGCACCACCCCCUCUCUUUUUUCCUCAAUGAAGGCAUGGUUAUGACCAAACCCACACGGGGCAAACUCGGUAAAAAAAACCUGAAAACAGGUGGAAACCGGGUCGCCGCCGCGUGUGUAAGCCAUAAUCACCUAAACCUUCAAGACUUUUUUGGUGGCACAUGCGUUAGAAUUCCCCAUCUACUAGAACUUCAUAGUGCAUCAAAGGAGUUUAAACGGAAAAAUAAAAUGAUACUACUACUCACACUGACAAGAUCCAAAUCCAUUAGAACGAUAUAUGAGAAUCUCAAAGUACACUUAAGGAAAUAUAAAUGGAGAUUGUCAUGCUAGCAAACAACACAAAACAUCACAGUCUCCAUGAUAACUCAAAGCCGUUUGAACCAGUUUAUGGCAUGAUAACAACACGAUGCAAACAAUAAGAACAAAGAUAACCAAGAAUAAGCAAGAAAGCAGGCCAAAAUGUCAAGUAGCCGAGGCAAAUUACCAAGGAAAUAGGAAGAUAUCAAUGAACUUCCUGUUUAAGGGAAGCUAGCUACGUACUCACAGAUCAUGGUUCGAGAACUGCAAAAACCGUGAAGAUCUCGUUCACCUCACCGAUUUUGAACGCCAGUCGCAGGUUUAGAGUCUGCCAUCUCCUUAAUUUUCUGCAAUUAAAACACCAAACAUGAAUAAUGGAAUCAGAUCUAUGUUCAGUAACCCUAAAAUCUA
rnacentral:lncRNA from 1 species